CUCGGGCCGAGCCGCGCGGGAGCCGACGGCGGCGCGCACAGCGCGCGGGGCGAUGCCGGCGCUUCCCAAGCGCGGCAGAGAGAGAGCAUCAAAGCAACGGGCUGGAAUUUCCUGCCCGGGCAGCGCCGCCGCAUCGGCCUCUGUCCGACGGGGACCGGCGCUUUGCUUCUGCGCUGGCGGCCCGUGAAUACCCUUCUGGCUUUGGGGGAGUUGGAGAAAAGUGACGACGGCCGCAUUUUCCAGGCGUUUGAGCACAGCUUCAUGUGACUCAGCAAACGCAAGGACCAGCCCAGCACUUGCUCGCGACACAACUGAGAACUGCAGCUCAUCCAAGCGCCAGCUCCGCAGGAGCAGACUGUACCUUAAUCCAUUUAACACGCGUGGCAGCCUGCUGCGAAGUGCAACAAGCCCAGUCUCGGCCAGAGCAGGCAGGGAGCGAGACCCGGAACCAAGG